AUUGAACGCUGGCGGCCGGCCUAACACAUGCAAGUCGAGCGAGCGGCGGACGGGUGAGUAAUGUCUGGGAAAAUGCCUGGUAGUGGGGGAUAACGUCCGGAAACGGGCGCUAAUACCGCAUACUAUCAGAUGAGCCUAGGUCGGAUUAGCUAGUAGGUGGGGUAAUGGCUCACCUAGGCGACUAUCCCUAGCUGGUCUGAGAGGAUGACCAGCCACACUGGAACUGAGACACGGUCCAGACUCCGACGGGAGGCAGCAGUGGGGAAUAUUGCACAAUGGGCGCAAGCCUGAUGCAGCCAUGCCGCGUGUGUGAAGAAGGCCUUCGGGUUGUAAAGCACUUUCAGCGGGGAGGCGUUACCCGCAGAAGAAGCACCGGCUAACUCCGUGCCAGCAGCCGCGGUAAUAC
rnacentral:rRNA from 1 species